rnacentral:tRNA from 3 species
GCCCAGGUGGCGGAAUUGGUAGACGCACCAGGUUCAGGUCCUGGCGCCAGCAAUGGUGUGGGGGUUCGAAUCCCUUCCUGGGCACCA